AUACGUAGGGGGCAAGCGUUAUCCGGAAUUAUUGGGCGUAAAGAGUGCGUAGGCGGUCUUGUAAGCGUGAGGUGAAAGGCAAUGGCUCAACCAUUGUAAGCCUUGCGAACUGUGAGACUUGAGUGCAGGAGAGGAGAGUGGAAUUCCUAGUGUAGCGGUGAAAUGCGUAGAUAUUAGGAGGAACACCAGUGGCGAAGGCGACUCUCUGGACUGUAACUGACGCUGAGGCACGAAAGCGUGGGGAGC
rnacentral:rRNA from 1 species